rnacentral:lncRNA from 1 species
GUGAACUGACAGAGAAAAAUGACAACAAAACAAGGUGCUCGGUCAAAACCACUGCUGAUUCCAAAAGUUUAAACAUGGCUGAGUUGCAUCUCUUCUUUGCGGAGCUGAAUUCUAGAAGAUUCGCGAUUGUCUCCUUCAGCCACUGAGAGAAUGAGAGGAGACAAAAUCAUGCAACAUUUCCAGCGAGACUGAACCCACAAGUGCUGAGAGCUCCUCGCGUCUGCUUUGACGCUACAUUGACGCUCCAUGGCAUGGAAAAGGGGCUGGCUUCCUAAUGUGGAGAGGAAGUUUAUGCAUUCUAAGGAAGAGAAGCUGCUCUCUCCUUGGACGUCCUGCUCACCUAGGCACCUGGGGUCCAUCUUUCAUCUGGCUCUAAUCAUCUUGGCCAAGGACACGCCUCCUGACUCCCCUCAGCACAGACCCCACAGUUUUCUGGAAGGCUGUCUCCAAAGCACACAGAAGAACAGGAGGCUUCCUCUGCACCCUGAUUUGUGUUAAAGGUUCAAGUCUUGAGAAAAAGCAGCACCUCUCUAACUGUGGCACGCCGCUCUCUCUCUCUCCCUUGCAAGGCAAAGCUGAGCCUCCUUUGAGAAGAAUGCAUGUGAGAUGGCGUGCUGCAAUUGGCCACUGGCUAACAGAGAUGCUGUCACAAAGUAAUGGAGUGACACAGCGACCCACUGGUCUCUUCCCCACCAAGAGUUGAGUGCUACAGUUUGCAAAGAGUGUUUCUGUUAAGCUGAUUGUGUGGCAGAACCUUAGUAGACUUCCAUGAUGACUACGGAUUGACAUUCUUCUGACUGUCCCUUUUCAUUUUUAUUUCGAAGCUAUAACAAGGUGAAAACCGGAUGAGAUAUAUUUUAUUAGUGUG